rnacentral:ncRNA from 2 species
AUAAUCUCGCCACGUUUUGGUGCUCGCGCCUCUGUCCAGAGGUGCAGUUAAACGGGAAACAGGGAGCCCUCCAGGGCCAACCUGUGCUGCCCCCGCAACGGUAAACAAGCGUCGUCCCCGCGUCGACUAUCCGCCUCGUAUAUGCCACUGUGCCUCGUGCAUGGGAAGGCCGGGCGGAUUCGCUUGCCAGCCCGGAUACCGGCCAAACAGGGGGAUGCGCC